rnacentral:rRNA from 1 species
AGGACGAACGCUGGCGGCGUGCUUAACACAUGCAAGUCGAGCGGUAAGGCCUUUCGGGGUACACGAGCGGCGAACGGGUGAGUAACACGUGGGUGAUCUGCCCUGCACUCUGGGAUAAGCCUGGGAAACUGGGUCUAAUACCGGAUAUGACCUGCUCUCGCAGUGGGGGUGGGUGGAAAGAUUUAUCGGUGCAGGAUGGGCCCGCGGCCUAUCAGCUUGUUGGUGGGGUAAUGGCCUACCAAGGCGACGACGGGUAGCCGACCUGAGAGGGUGACCGGCCACACUGGGACUGAGACACGGCCCAGACUCCUACGGGAGGCAGCAGUGGGGAAUAUUGCACAAUGGGCGAAAGCCUGAUGCAGCGACGCCGCGUGAGGAUGAAGGCCUUAGGGUUCGUAAACCUCGUUUCAGACGAGGACGAA